rnacentral:lncRNA from 1 species
GCUGCUCCCAGGGAACUUUUUUUUUUUUUUAAAUACCUGUCUUCCAACAAAAGAGUGGUCUAGAUGGGGUGGGGGCUGCUAAAUUUAGAAAUCAUGACCCAAAUAGCCUUCCUUUUGGCCUUUUAAGUUCACAGAAGUAUUUUUCAAAAUUCCCAACUCUUGGAAAUCUAAACUUGAAGCUAUUCAAGAUUAGCGUUUUCAACAUAGAAUUUUGAAUCUUGAAAUUUAGUACUGUGGAUAAGACCAGGUAAGGAACUGACCAUCAUCUAACAUCCCCAACUUAGCCCUGUCCCAAGUCCUCCAGAGCUGAUGCUCCGUCUUUGCUCAACUCGAUGGGUCCUUGCACAUUCUUGGCUCUCUUCAGAAUUCCCUUUGCUGCCAAUUGGGAAGUCCCAAGCCAUGUGUUCAAACAAGAAGAAGAACUGGAGCCUCAGAGGAGCUGCUCUCAGCCCCACUCAGGAGGUGGCACUUGACAAUGUGUAGCCUUUUAAUGUGGGCACUGGGGACAUCCUUUUCAGAUUAUCCUGAAAUUCAAAGCUCUGUACCAACCUCCUUGGAGCCUGCAUCCUAUGCAAUUGUCCAUCUGGCUGUCAAAGGAUGUAGCUGAGAGUGUGGGCUAUGGAUAUUAUCCCUAAUUUUGUCCUAAGGAAAUUUCUGUAAGAGCUGGAGUGCCCAGACACUGUGUCUCAUGCUGUAUACUUAAGAGGAGAAGAAAAAAGUCCUAUAUUUGUGAUCAAAAAGAGGGAACUUGAAAUGUGCUGGUGUUUAUAAUAAAAGCUGGUAAAACUGCUUGGAUUCA